CGGACCCACGGGGGCGGUGCGCGAACCCCGCGGCCGGAGGGGGCCCCGCCUCUAGGCGGGCCGGGCGAGGGGGAGCGCACCCCGACUUCCCUGGAUCACAUGGGCUGCGGGGGGCGGGUGGAUCGGGGGAGGGGGAGGCGCGGGGAGCUCGCGGCCGCUCCUCGCUCGGGCAGGGGAGAAGACGCCCCCCACCCCCUCUAGUUCGGCCUCUCCAUUCAAGUUCGCCGGCCCCGGCCGCCGGGAUCCGGGGAUGGCACCAGCCGCCCGCCUAGCCCUGCGCCCUUUUUCCAGCCACCGCGCAGAAAUUUAGGUCAAGGACGUCGGGAUCAAACCCAAACCCUGGCGCUCCUCGGCGGGCCCCGAAACCCCCCAGGAUCGGGGAGCUUCAGGAUUGCGGAGACCCUCCCGCACAAACAGCAGCCACAACUUUUAUUUUCCUUUGGCUCUGGAAGUUCUCUCUGGCUCUGGCUCCACACCGGCACGUCUUGCGCCGCUCCCCGCCCUUCCCCGGCAGAGGAUUAGGACACAAUGGAAUACACUCAACAGCAAAACUAUACCAAAUCCACUGUGGGUCGUGGCAAAGUGGAAUAUUUGGAAAAUCCCAACACUAGCCAAAGCCUUGGAUGACCAGAUUCUUAAUCUCCCUGCCUCCUAAAUUUGGGAUAAUUCCUCACUGACAGGAUUGAUGGGGUGAGAGGAGAGAUUGAAGAUUGCAUUUCACUGCCAAGCCAAGUGCCUCUCUGAUUAAAGAGUAUGUUCACUUCAUCUCUCGUAGUCUCUUACAAGCCUACUCUUAAGAAUAGACAUGGCAGACUUGGCACCAAAAAAGCAAACCAUAUUUUUACCAGAAACUAUUUAGUGAAAUGAGUUUUUAUUCAUGAAAACUUUACCAAGUAUAAAUUUCAUGUCUGAAAGUAAUGGGCCCUUUGUAUUUCCCUUCAAUAAAUAAAUAGCUUCUUUCCUCAAGAAUUACAACUUCUGAGCAUGCUCUUAAAUUCAAAGCUAGUUUGUUUUCUUCCAAGAAAAUGAAGAUAUGCAUGUGCAUACAGACCCUUCUUUGGUUGGUCCUUCUUCUAGAUCUGUGUAAAAUGGGAAAGCCAAGAUGGUAUCUUUCUUUUUUUUUUUAAAGAUUUUAUUUAUUUAUUUGAGAGAGAAUGAGAUAGAGAGAGAGAGCACGAGAGGGAAGAGGAUCCGAGGGAGAAGCAGACUCCCCGCCGAGCAGGGAGCCCGACGCGGGACUCGAUCCCGGGACCCCGGGAUCAUGACCCGAGCCCAAGGCAGCCGCCCAACCGACUGAGCCACCCAGGCGCCCCAGAUGGUAUCUUUCUAACAGUCGUAACUGGAGAUAUAAAAUAUCUGGGAAGAACAUGAACAAAGGCAGAGGGUGUGAGGCUGAAAGCGAAACUGGAUUUUUCAAACACUCUUUACUUAUCUAACAUAUAAAUAUCUUUAUGUGUAAUUUACUCCCAACAUUGUCUGGUAUACUUAGAGACAUAAAAGUCUAUUUAAA